UCCCUGGUGGUCCAGUGGCUAAGACUCUGCACUCCUGAUGCAGGGGUCCUGGGUUCGCUCCCUGGCUGGGGAA